GCUCCUGCCAUAGUGGAGAAUUAAGCUGUACAGGACCACCAAAAGAUGAUUCAUGCACCCAUCCAAUGGUUUACUACAACUGCUCGAAUGCAAAGCCGGGUGAAACAGGUUCUGAGUGCCAAAGGAGCUGCCAGACAGUGGACUCAGAAUGUGUAAGUGUUCAAUGUGUCCCGGGCUGUGUGUGUCCUGAUGGUCUGCUGUCAGAUAUGAAAGGAGGCUGUGUGAAGGAGGAACAGUGUACAUGUGCACAUGGUGGAAAAUUCUAUGAACCAGGAAGUGAAAUAACUGUGAGCUGUCAAAGAUGCACAUGUAAAGGUAGGAGAUGGGAAUGCACGGAUAACGACUGUGGUGCAAAGUGCACCAUAUAUGGAGAGGGGAAUUACAUAACCUUUGAUGAACGAAAAUUUGCCUUUAAAGGGGCUUGUGGU